rnacentral:lncRNA from 1 species
GAACAGAACCCAGAUGGUUGCAAGACGAGCACGCUUUCACGACGCCACCGUGGCUCCACGCUUCUGGCUGACUAAAGGUGUGCCUAGUGCGUGCGUCAUUG